UGGAGGGACAUACUUGAACCAGAUCCAAGUCACAGUGACCGGCUGGAAGUUAAAGUUGGGGAUUAUAAUCUCACCCAUGUGUAGGCAGCGCACACACGGUGAAAACUGCAGAGAUGUUCUUAAAACAACAGGUCAGAGAACAUGGCAGAGAAAUGAGGAAGAGGGAAGGAAGCUGGUUUCUACCUGAAGAGCCCCUGGGCCAGCUUCACAGUCACCCACUUUUGACACCUGCGUCCAGACACGCUGUAUGGUGUGUGGCACAGCUGCUGAGGCCAGAUGCCUGCUCGGUGGGCCUCGCUGGAAGAUGCUGCUGAACUCUACGUCCUGAUUGGCACCCAUAAAUUCUGUGAUGAAUCAUCGUUCACUCUGACCUUGGCCCUCUAGGUAAUCCCCCAAGACACCCAAUUCAGCCUUUCCUGAGACUUCUCUGCCUCUGCCCUCCAUUUUCUCCCCUAACCAGGUCAU
rnacentral:lncRNA from 1 species